UUUAAAUGUGAUGAAAUACCGCAGGGCCUCAGAGAGAACUAGGCACUCGGAGGCUGCUUUGAAUUUGCCACACAGCAUGGAUGAAAAUACCAGUCCCCCCAGGUCUUCUUCUUCUUGAAUGCAGCAUAAAAUGUGUCUGCCUCAGUGUUCUAUGCCGUGCACACUGCAAAGACGCAUACAACUCUGUGGAUAAAUCAAGCAAAAAAAAAAGUUUAAUGGUAUCAAUUAAACAAAUAGUAUAUCCAGACAAUUCAGGUUUUCCUAUAUCCCCCCCCCCCAAAAAAAAAAAACGGCAUCAAGGGUGAAUUUCUCAUAUGAUAGGUAUAAGCUGGGGUGGAUUUAGGAGUCAGGCCACCGUAGGCACAUUAUCCCCCCCCCCCCAUCAUGUCAAUGCCCCCUUCAUUUUGUGACCAGUCUGGCUGUCUCGAGACCACCAAAGCAGCCCCAACCUCAUCCCACUUCCACCUUCUGGACCACAAUUUACUGCCCAUUGUCCCUCUCCCAUCAGUUGCAAAAUAAAAUAUGAAAAAAGUAAGAAAGUCGUAAAAAAAGGAAUCACCUGACCUCAUCAGCCUGGUGUGCCGCCCCUCAGCAAGUGCCAUCCCUAGGCAUGUACCUCACAUGCCUAGUGGGAAAUUCACCACUGGGUAAAAGGCCACGUAGUAAAGGAGAAAAACUUUUUGGAACCUGACUUUAGAGAUAGCCAAAAAAAUGCACUGAUUUUGCAGCUGGAAAUUAGCGUUUACUCUAUGUUCACUUUUCAUAGUUUACAUUCAAGUUUGCGCCUCCUGUUCAAGCUACUGUAUGGUAUUUGUGAAUCAACAUUCUGCCAUUCCAUUAAAGGUUUGCCAUUAAUGUUCACCAACACAAA